rnacentral:SRP_RNA from 1 species
AUUCCGCGUGGCGUUUAUCCUCUGAACUCCCCCAGGGCAGGAAUGCAGCAAGGGUCAGGAGGCUCUGGCGGGUGCGCGGGA